GGAUGAAUGAUGAGGCUUGGAGUGAUUGGAUGAAAGACACACCCCUUUACUUGCUCUCUCGGAAAUCCCCGAAAGUUGAUGUUGCUGAAGUGAAUAAUCAGAUGCGAUUUUCUAUCACUGGACUACAUAGGAAUACUAUGCACCCGAAGCGAAGACGAAGUUAUAUCAUACUGAGAGGUAUCUUGGAAACCUGUAUGCUAUACCAAACAUG
rnacentral:lncRNA from 1 species